UUAUAUUGAUAUGCCAUUGUAUCGGUUGC
rnacentral:sRNA from 1 species